rnacentral:rRNA from 1 species
UACGAAGGGGGCUAGCGUUGCUCGGAAUUACUGGGCGUAAAGGGCGCGUAGGCGGCUUUAUAAGUCAGGCGUGAAAUUCCUGGGCUUAACCUGGGGGCUGCGCUUGAGACUGUGAGGCUUGAGGUCAGAAGAGGGUCGUGGAAUUCCCAGUGUAGAGGUGAAAUUCGUAGAUAUUGGGAAGAACACCGGUGGCGAAGGCGGCGACCUGGUCUGAUACUGACGCUGAGGCGCGACAGCGUGGGGAG